CGAACGCUGGCGGCGUGCUUAACACAUGCAAGUCGAGCGGUAAGGCCCUUUUGGGGGUACACGAGCGGCGAACGGGUGAGUAACACGUGGGUGACCUGCCCUCAGCUCUGGGAUAAGCCUGGGAAACUGGGUCUAAUACUGGAUAUGACCUUUCCUCGCAUGGGGUUGGGUGGAAAGUUUUUCGGCUGGGGAUGGGCCCGCGGCCUAUCAGCUUGUUGGUGGGGUGAUGGCCUACCAAGGCGACGACGGGUAGCCGGCCUGAGAGGGCGACCGGCCACACUGGGACUGAGACACGGCCCAGACUCCUACGGGAGGCAGCAGUGGGGAAUAUUGCGCAAUGGGCGGAAGCCUGACACAGCGACGCCGCGUGGGGAUGACG
rnacentral:rRNA from 1 species